rnacentral:tRNA from 1 species
GCCGACGUGGCGGAACUGGUAGACGCGCUUGGCUUAGGACCAAGUGGGUUUUCCCGUGGGGGUUCGAGUCCCUCCGUCGGCA